CUUUAAAAAUCUGUCAGUAGAAAGAAGUUUGGUUAAUAAUUAGCAAGCUUCUCAACCAGUUUUAGUCAAAACUCAAAUUGACAAUUAACAUGCCCAUUGUUUGGAAAUCCAGAAAACUGGGUAACUCGAACAGAUAAGUCACAAGAGACGGCAACAGACAGAGGACUGAGAAUCAUAAUUGGGACUCUUGCUUUAAUUUUGCUAUGUUUUGAAAGAAGAAAACGAAACAAACUGCUACCGUAUUAUUAGUUUUUAAUUUAGCUGCCAACGUACGUUAGUUGUAGUUUCAAUUAGAAAUUGAUCCCUGUAGAAGCAGAGACACCUCACUUUGCUCCAAAUAGUUAUACAGUGAGGGGAGCUGGGGAGGAGCG
rnacentral:lncRNA from 1 species